rnacentral:sRNA from 1 species
AGUAGGAUAUAGAUUUGAUAUGUCAUUAAUAUAAUUUUGAUAUGAAAAUGUUAUCACUCAAUAUGAAGUGUGUAGAAUUUAAAUCGAGUUUAUUAUGAUAACAUAGAUAGUUAAACUGUAUUACAAAAUUGAAUGGUGUAAGAUAGAAAUUUGUUUUUU